rnacentral:ncRNA from 1 species
AACGACCGGCCGGACAUUCGCGUGCCAACGCAGAUGACCGGCCCACAAGUGGAGGCUCCGAUCUCCCACCUGGCUGCUCCUAGGGGCGGCGGGUCACCGGUCAGGCGGUCGCCGCAGCGCGGCGGACCGUCGGAUGUGCGCCCCGCGAUCACCGCGGAGGUGCUCCGGUAAGUGUAUGGAGCCCCUUCAGUGAUCGGUCGGGGCAUUUUUU